rfam:Pristionchus pacificus strain PS312 contig6501, whole genome shotgun sequence.
UCUUCAUUUCACACACUCUCUCACAAGUCCGCUAGGUGGGAGAGUGUGUGAAAUGAAGAGA